CGCGUAGGCGGACCUGCAAGUCAGAUGUGAAAUCUCGGGGCUCAACCCCGAAACUGCGUCUGAAACUACAGGUCUAGAAUCUUGGAGGGGGAAGGGGAAUAUCGCAUGUAGGGGUAAAAUCCGUAGAUAUGCGAUGGAACACCAGAGGCGAAGGCGCCUUCCUGGACAAGUAUUGACGCUGAGGCGCGAAAGCGUGGGGAUCAAACA
rnacentral:rRNA from 1 species